AAAAUGCUUUUUCGGAAUGUCAAAUUAAGCAUUUACGUUAACCGCUAAAGCUACUCAAUUAUGUCCAAUAUCCUAUAUUUCACUGAUUCUCAUAUUGGAAAGUCUACCCUUUUAUAACUAAUUCUUGUAUAAUAUUUGACUGUUUCGUGUACAAAUUUCGUUGGUAAUAUAACACUAAAUGUGCAAUCAAAAGGCAAUCUUGAACAAUCGCUGAUAAUCAAUAAGAAUGGCAAAAUACAUAUAGAAAUCAGGCAUGUUACUGCACAUUGCUGCUGCCUAAAGAAAUUACAAUUUAUUACGUUAAUUGAGGAUUGAAACGCAGAGCUAAACAAUAUAUAUAUAUAUAUUAAAUCAACGUGGGUAGCAACAGAAUGAACGCGAUUAGCGGGAAAAAGUAGGGAAGCUAAUUACCGAACAAUGAUCACGCUUCGUAUGACGUUAUAAAAAGUAGAUACA